rnacentral:rRNA from 1 species
AUGGUCAGCGCCUCCAGCCUGCUGCUGCUGCCGUCCUCCGUGCGGGACCUCGCCUCCUGCGUCGUCGCCGACGUCGCCGCCUGCACCACCCCCUCCUCCACCCUCACCUCCCCCGCCUCCCCCUCCACGCUCUCCGUCACCGUCUUCUACCGCGCCGCCGCGCUCCUGCCCGGGCAGAGCUCCCCCGCGCACCUGCGGCUCACCUGGACCCGCUCCCCGCUCGGCCCCACGCUCUCCUUCUCCCCCUCCGCCUCCAACCCCGCCGUGGUCCUCCGCAGGCGCAGGGGCACGCAGUCCGUCCCCGUCGACGACGCCGCACGGCCACAGCUCGUCGUGUUCUGGGACCUCACCGCCGCGCGCUACGACGCCUCCCCGGAGCCGCACUCCGGCUACUACUUCGUCGCCGUCGCCGGCGCCGACGUCGUGCUGGCCGUGGGCGACCUGGCGGCCGAGUUCGUCGAGGAGAGGUUCGAGGGCCGGAUCCCCAAGGCCGCGGCUUUGACCGUCCCGUUCGCGCGCAGGGAGCGCGUCGUUGCGCCGGACCCGGCGGCGAUGCACACCGCGCGGCGCGUCCGGUUCGCCGAGGGCGGCCCGGAUCACGAGGUAAGCGUAGGGUGCUCCGGCGGCGCGGAAGAAGAAGAGCUGUGGGUGAGCGUCGACGGGAAGCGCGCGGUGCAGGCGCGGCGGCCGCGGCUGAACUUCCGGGGGAACCAGACCGUGUUCGUGGACGGCGCGCCGGUGGACGUCAUGUGGGACCUGCACGGCUGGUGGUUCCGGGAGCCUCCGUACGGCAGCGCGGUGGUCAUGCUCCGGGCGCGCAGCGCGCUGGAGAGCCGGCUGUGGCUAGAGGAGGAGGAGGUCGCCACCGCCGCGCCGGGGUUCUCGCUCGUCCUCCAGGCCUUCAAGUCCCGCACUGAUGGGCGGCUAUCAUCUGCCCCUGCCCAUUGA